AAGUCGUAACAAGGUCUCCGUAGGUGAACCUGCGGAGGGAUCAUCAAAGAAUUUUCCCAAAGAAAAAUGAGUUGCCCUAAAAAAGCACUUGUUUUUCUUCAAACAAACGAUCACAACUAUUGAAAAAAAAAUUGAUUUGGUUGGGAAAUUGACUUGGAAUUAAACAAACAAGUGUUUGCCUGAUAAUCUGAUGACUUGGAAACAAGAGAGAGAAAAAGAAAUACAACUUUCAACAACGGAUCUCUUGGCUCUCA
rnacentral:misc_RNA from 1 species